GGAAAACUCGUCCUCAGAAAUCAGAAAGAAAUUUUCCUUCACCAUAAUGCGUGAUGACUCAGAGGACUUUUUUCAUGCCUUGAAAUAAUCUAUUGAGAUGUGAGACUGGAGGGGAAACUAUGUCUUCAUUCACCUAGGGAUCACAUUGGAAACUGUGAACGACAGGACAUUUGACCAUCAACCCACCAUUUCCACACAGAAGUGUCAGAGUUGAGAGUGAGCUGGUUGUAUAAGAAGCAGCUGCAAGGCAUCAGGGAAGUCCCUGAAGUGGGACAAAGGGUUGGUGGCGGAAAUGAUGUCAAGAUAAAUGAACCAUGAAACCUAAUUUAUAAAAGAGCUACCCUGAAUUGCAGCAAAUGCACGGAUACUCCCAUCUCAAAUGCACACCUACAACAUGAGCUAUGAAACCCAGUUUAUAAAAGAGCUACCCUGAAUUGCAGCAAAUGUAGGGAUACUCCCAUCUCAAAUGCACCCCUGCAGUGACAUCUGUCAGGAGCCUAUGGAGACAGCUGCCUCACCCAGAAGGCCUCUUGCAUUUUUAUUUUUGCAAAUAUUCAGCAGGGAUGGAGGGGACUGCGUCUGCUCUCUCCACUUUCUUCCUGGAGAGAAGAGGACAUGAUGGAGAACAGAAGGCAAGGACAAUACAUUCCACUCACAUUUCUAAGAAUUCCAUGACCGGAAGCUGCCACAAAAAUAAUGCAAAGGUCUGUCACCAAUCACAGAUGCAAGGCCUCACAGAAAGCCCACUUGAGCUGAGAGGUGAAGUUGUUCCCUGCAGAUGCUCACAUGAAAAUGAGAUAAAUAGUGAACUCUUUGAAGAUGCACUGGAAAGAUUUCCUCGACAAGGCAGAAAUGAGACACAUGACACAUAAGCCUUUAAGAGUGACCUCAGAGGAAAACAGAAUUUGCUGGAUGAUACAGAAGCAGAAAAGGGAAAACCAGAGCUCCGAGGCACCGCGUGUCAACCACCAGAUGGAUUAGCUCUGCUGAUCAACCGAUCAUGGAGUGUGGAGCCAGUUGCAGAAAGGGAGGAGAAUAGAGGAAUAAAAGGGAGGGGAGAAGACACAAAAGGCUUAGCUGUAGUCAUAGCAGGGUGGGCUCUAGAUGGACAUGGGCAUGGGUUGGAAUCCCAGCUCUUUCUGGAAAAUU